rnacentral:tRNA from 1 species
UGGGGUGUAGCUCAGUGAUAAAGCACUUGCCCAGCAAGCACGAGGCCCGGGUUCCACUCCCAGCACUGCAC